rnacentral:lncRNA from 1 species
GGAGGCCAUUUUAGAGGUGGGGAAACUGAGGCGCGAAUUGCCCACGGUCACCCAGCAGACCAGUGACAGAACUGGGUUUAGAACCCAGGUCUCCCGAGUCCCAGUCUAAUGCUCAAACUACUAGGCCGCUAGGCCCCAUCUUUGUUGUUAAACUUGGCACCUGGCCCAUACGUAACCUGAACAAAGCAUCUGCUUGGCUUUCUCUGAAUAUGUUUGGUUUUGAAGUCGUCUGGGUUCAAUUGCAACGCUUGUCCUCAGUAGGUGCAGUUCUGACAUAGAUACACUAUGUAGCGCCAUCUCCUAACUAAAACAGCUGGGGUCAUCUGUUUGUGCUCUCUGGGAAUUGAUCAGCCAUGUGGUACGGCUUGGAAAAGGAGGAUGUGUUUUGGACCUAGGGUUAAUUUUUUUUUUUUUUUUUUUUUUUUUGGCAGUUGUUCUUCAACAUGUUUCUACAUAUCUGCUAAGGAACUCAAACACUGCAUUGCUGUUAACUCUAGAGAGAGGAUAUAUGAUUGGUGGGAUCACAUAAGAUCUACAUUAUCCUCCAGCCACCAAGGAAUUGAAGAUCGGGUCCUAUUUAUAUGUCAUAGUGCACGUAUGGAACUGAGACUUCUCUGCUGCUCCUUUAAUCACUGGAGCAGGAUCUCAGCCAGUUCUGAGGCCAGAGAGAAUCAUAUUUUGCUAGGGAGCUGUGCUGCUGAACACUGAUGUGUCUUGGGCCAGAUACUGCCACCCUUACUCAUGCUAAGUAAUACCUGACUCUGUAAGUACAACAGCUAAUGAUAAUAUACUACACUAGGCCAGGUUUUGCCAUCAGUGUAGCGUUUGGGCCUGAUCCUUUAUGCUUCAAGCAAUAAGCAUGGCAUUAUAUAGCCUUAAAGGGUGGUCGCUUUCUUCCUUGUAUAAAACAAACCCAUUGAAACAAUUUCCAAUCCUUUCUCUUUUGCUGUCUCUGAAUUCACUGGUUCAACACAACAUGUACAGAACACGCGUCUGAUUGACAAAAAUGCCUGACUGUCCUAUGUAGCUACAGUGUCAACCAAGUUAACAGUGUUGUUUGUUUAAAAGACCACUGUCCUUGUACUGUGCUUAGUGUGGGGGAAAAUGAAAUGUACCAUUUGUUGGAAUCAUACUGGCUAAGCCAUGUCACUUUAUACGCAUCUCUUUAAUAAAAGACAAUUGGCCAAAUCCA